AUUGAACGCUGGCGGCAGGCCUAACACAUGCAAGUCGAGCGGAUGAAGGGAGCUUGCUCCUGGAUUCAGCGGCGGACGGGUGAGUAAUGCCUAGGAAUCUGCCUGGUAGUGGGGGAUAACGUCCGGAAACGGGCGCUAAUACCGCAUACGUCCUGAGGGAGAAAGUGGGGGAUCUACGGACCUCACGCUAUCAGAUGAGCCUAGGUCGGAUUAGCUAGUUGGUGGGGUAAAGGCCUACCAAGGCGACGAUCCGUAACUGGUCUGAGAGGAUGAUCAGUCACACUGGAACUGAGACACGGUCCAGACUCCUACGGGAGGCAGCAGUGGGGAAUAUUGGACAAAGGGCGAAAGCCUGAUCCAGCCAUGCCGCGUGUGUGAAGAAGGUCUUCGGAUUGUAAAGCACUUUAAGUUGGGAGGAAGGGCAGUAAGUUAAUACCUUGCUGUUUUGACGUUACCAACAGAAUAAGCACCGGCUAACUUCGUG
rnacentral:rRNA from 1 species